GAUGAACGCUGGCGGCGUGCUUAACACAUGCAAGUCGAACGAAGCACCUUGAUUUGAUUCUUCGGUUGGAGAUCUUGGUGUCUGAGUGGCGGACGGGUGAGUAACGCGUGGGUAACUUGCCUCAUACAGGGGGAUAACAGUUAGAAAUGACUGCUAAUACCGCAUAGGACCACCGCACCGCAUGGUGCAGGGGUAAAAACUCCGGUGGUAUGAGAUGGACCGGCGUCUGAUUAGGUAGCUGGUGGGGUAACGGCGUAUCAAGCCGACGAUAGGUAGACGAGCAGUGAGGGAGACCCCACACAUCGACGCGGAGACACAGUGGGAAAUCCUAGGCGAGGGGGGAGAGGGGGAUACAGCACAACGGGGGGAGCCAUGAUGCAGCGACGACGCGAGAGCGAUGAAGUAUGUCGGGAAGUAAAGCUAUAUAAGAAGGGAAGAAAAUGACGGUACCUGAAGAAGAAGCACCGGCUAAAUACGUG
rnacentral:rRNA from 1 species